UGAGCUUCACUUGCCCUCUGAAGAACUCGUUCACUGAAUCUUGAGCGUCUUUUAAGUUUUCAGCGCCUUCUCAAUCAACCUUUAGGUUUCACAGCACGGAUGUCAAUCACUAAUCAGGCAUUGUAAAAAGGAUGCUAAAUGUGCUAUAUGAUUAGCGCGAUCAUUGUAUUUACAUUUAUCAAAAUUCGCUGUGUACUCUGCAGGCGAAAAAACAAGUGCCGCCAUUAAGUAGUACGUCCACUUUAGACACUACAGAACGAAAAAACUCAAGACAAAGUGACAUGCAACCGUGAUGAUAUAACAUAUGCUCAGCUUGAACAAAAUUAGCAGACUAAGCACCAGAAAGUAACAAUAGAAAUCAGUUUCCAUAAUUCAAUGCACU
rnacentral:lncRNA from 1 species